rnacentral:piRNA from 1 species
UACUAGAUGAAACAAACAGCAGAUUGAA